UUUUUGAAACAUCAAGUGGCCAGAGACUCGAAAUCUUAUUUGCCCAUUAGUGACUUGUCAGGGCGGUGGAUUUUAGUUUGUACGAUAAUGCUGCAUCCACCUAAAGUAACGAAAGUUCUUACGUAAACUUCCUAGUAAUUCCCUCUUCGUAGGUCCAGCAUUACUCCUAACAUUUGUAAUAUCAGUUUGAAACUUGUAAUAUUGCCGUGUCCUAUUUCUGUGUUUUCAAAAUCCUACGAAUCAUACAGGUCCUGAGUUGGCGAUGAUGUUGUGCCUCCCAUCUUUCACCAAUAGCCGUCAGAUCUAGAUCUGACGCAUACAAACCAAGCUUCUCCAUUUUUGCAAAAAGAUGCCCACACUUGUUCCCUAUUUACAAACAACUCCUUAUCUCUCACAAUCAGCCUUAUCUCCUCCCCACCACAUCUACAAGGCCGUGGAAAAAUCUGGCGCGAUGGCCGCUGCCGGAGCCGUUCACCCCCAAUCUUGGUGUUCCGUGCAAUGCACGGGCAUCUACGCAUGGGAAAUUAUGUCGAACAGGGCUAGUUAUAAGCAGGCUAGCUCUACAGCCAUGAUGAUAGUGACUGCAGACGGUGAGGCUGACUAUGGUAUGCCGAACACGGCACCUAUAUGAUAACCCACAAGUGUAGGGGAUCGCAACAGGUUUCGAGGGUAGAGUAUUCAACCCAAAUUUAUUGAUUCGACACAAGGGGAGCCAAAGAAUAUUCUCAAGUAUUAGCAGCUGAGUUGUCAAUUCAACCACACCUGGAUAACUUAGUAUCUGUAGCAAAGUGUUUAGUAGCAAAGUAAUAUGAUAGUAGUGGUAACGGUAAUAAAGGUAACGGUAGCAAAAGUAAUGUUUUUGGUAUUUUGUAGUGAUUGUAAUAGUAGCAAUGGGAAAGUAAAUAAGCAAAAACCAGUAUAUGGAAAGCUCGUAGGCAUUGGAUCGGUGAUGGAUAAUUAUGCCAGAUGCGGUUCAUCAUGUAACAGUCAUAACAUAGGGUGACAUAGAACUAGCUCCAAUUCAUCAAUGUAAUGUAGGCAUGUAUUUCGAAUAUAGUCAUACGUGCUUAUGGAAAAGAAAUUGCAUGACAUCUUUUGUCCUACCCUCCCGUGGCAGCGGGGUCCUAAUGGAAACUAAGGGAUAUUAAGGCCUCCUUUUAAUAGAGAAACCGGAACAAAGCAUUAGCACAUAGUGAAUACAUGAACUCCUCAAACUAUGGUCAUCACCGGGAGUGGUCCCGAUUAUUUUCACUUCGGGGUUGCCAGAUCAUAACACAUAGUAGGUGACUAUAGACUUGCAAGAUAGGAUCAAGAACUUACAUAUAUUCAUGAAAACAUAAUAGGUUCAGAUCUGAAAUCAUGGCACUCGGGCCCUAGUGACAAGCAUUAAGCAUCGCAAAGUCAUAGCAACAUCAAUCUCAGAACAUAAUGGAUAUUAGGGAGCAAACCCUAACAAAAGUAACUCGAUUACAUGAUAGAUCUCAUCCAACCCAUCACCGUCCAGCAAGCCUACGAUGGAAUUACUCACGCACGGCGGUGAGCAUCAUGAAAUUGGUGAUGGAGGAUGGUUGACGAUGAUGACGGCGACGAAUCCCCCUCUCCGGAGCCCCGGACGGACUCCAGAUCAACCCUCCUGAGAGGUUUUAGGGCUUGGCGGUGGCUCCGUAUCGUAAAACAUGAUGAUUUCUUCUCCUCUAUUUUUUUCCUCCCCGAAAGCAAAUAUAUAGAGUUGGAGUUGGCGUCGGAGGAGCUCUAGGGGGCCCACGAGGUAGGGGGCGCGCCCUAGGGGGGCGCGCCCCCCACCCUCGUGGACAGGGUGUGGGCCCCCUGGUCUUCAUCUUUGACAAGGAUUUUUUAUUAUUUUUAACAAGAUGUUCCGUGGAGUUUCAGGUCAUUUCGAGAACUUUUGUUUUCUGCACAUAAAACAACAUCAUGGCAAUUCUGCUGAAAACAACGUCAGUCCGGGUUAGUUCCGUUCAAAUCAUGCAAGCUAGAGUCCAAAACAAGGGCAAAAGUGUUUGGAAAAGUAGAUACGACGGAGACGUAUCAACUCCCCCAAGCUUAAACCUUUGCUUGUCCUCAAGCAAUUCAGUUGAAAAACUGAAAGUGAUAAAGAAAAACUUUUACAAACUCUGUUUGCUCUUGUUGUUGUAAAUAUGUAAAGCCAGCAUUCAAGUUUUCAGCAAAGAUUAUGACUAACCACAUUUGCAAUAAUUCUCAGGUCUCAUGUUUACUCAUAUCAAUAGCAUAAUCAACUAGCGAGCCAUGAUAAUAAAUCUCGGAUGACAACACUUUCUCAAAACAAUCAUAAUAUGAUAUAACAAGAUGGUAUCUCGCUAGCCCUUUCUGAGACUGCAAAACAUAAAUGCAGAGCACCUUUAAAGAUCAAGGACUGACUAGAUGUCGGAGUAAUGGGCCACGGGUAGGCUAACCCGAGUCCCAGGACCUUUCAAGACAUCGGGGCAGGCCGCGCCCCUCAGGCCGAGUCCCAGGAGCGACUUCAAAAUAUGCCGAGUCCCAGGCGGCGACUCCAGAUGAGCCGACUCCAAGCUGGCGACCUCCAGAGAGGCCGACUAUGGAGAGUCGGCCCAUGACUCCUCCCUCAUCUCGAAGUACGGUACAGGGUAUGGUCACGGCGUGGCCGUGCCCCGCCCCUGCUUAUGAAGGGCCGGCAUGGCUACAGUGAGCCGUAUCGCUGGAAGAUCUCCGGUGAGGCGCGACACUGUUGCCAUGCCCGCCCUGACCUCAGCCACAGUGCGCAGCGCACUGUGCCCACGACGCCGGCAUGUACGACUCGAAGGCGGCGGGGUCGCCUGUUAGUGAGUGGGCCGAAGGCGGCCUGAGCGCGCCGAAGACGGCCCUGUGGGAGUCAGCCUCCCUGAAGUCGGCCGACUCCUCCCAGGGUCCCACGAGCCAUUAACCCGACAAGAUGGGGAAUGGCGACAGUGAUCGCCCGAUAGACGGCGGCACUAUUGCCACGACCCAAUGACCGAGUCUACGUCAUCAGGAGCGCCGCUACAGUGUCAAGCCUGUCCGCGGGACCCACCAGUCGGCGGGCCCCAGAAGCCAGCGGGAAGGACGACUGCCUGAGAGACAGACGGCUGGGACCCGUGCCCAGCCGGAUUACUAUUGUACCCCCGGGGGGUAGGCCUAUAUAAACCCCCCGGGGCACCCAUGCAAAGGGUUCGGACCUUGAGAUAGAUAGACCAGAUAGAUAGGGAGGAGAGAGCUAGCCCUGCCCUCUCUUACCUCCGGAAACAGCUCUAGGAGCACCAUUGUAGUCACUUUGCCUUAAGUGAUCAUGCGGAGACCCCGCAGAGUAGCAGUAGGGGUGUUAUCUCCUAGGAGAGCCCUAAAUCUUCGCCUCAUCCCGCUUCCAGGCACCGGCGACGUUCUACUCGCUCCCACCAUGAUAAGCCAUCCUUUGGCAUAUGUCGUAUCCAACCCCCGACAUUUGGCGCCCACCGUGGGGCGAGGUGCACCGUCGUUCGGAGAUCUGCUCUGGACGGGAACCAUGUUCCUCUCCGGCGAGCAUAGCCAGCCCGGCACGCCGGAUGGUGUCUGUGCCGACGCGCUGCACGGUGCUAAGAUCGCCUGUGCGGCCAGCUGCCUCGCCGAUCUUACCGGUGAGGUUCGCCUCUCCGAUGAGCCUGCGUCCGCCGCAGGCACGAGUGGCCCCGAGAGCCUCCUCGCGGGCCUCCUCGACCAACUCCACGUCGUCGGCGAGCCUGCCGUGGACCUGAAGUCCAUAGGAUCCACCGACCCGAUGCUGGUCGACCCCGACACCGCGUCGCUCGACGCAUUCCCCACCAACGUAGUGGUCUAUGACGAGCCGCUCUCUUAUGCGGGGAGCGGCGGAAGCACCGUCACCGAGGUCCUCGUCCUCGACCACGGCGAGCGCUCCGGCGAAGGAGCGCACGACCCGCUUGACGCGGCCCUGCGAAACCUCGCGGCGCCGAUUCCGGAAGACGUCGAUGCCGAGACGCUGGAGGUGCUCCGCCUUCAGCUUGUCGAGGGCGCGAAGAAGCUGGCAAGCAUGAGGCGCUUGUCAGAAGCCUACCAACGCGAGAUGGAUCGCGCUGUAGGCGGCUCGCUGCCUCCGACGGGGCCCAGCCGCCUAGGCGCGGUCCGACAGCGCGGCGCGGCAAUCACCAACCUCUUCGGGGCCGAUCGUCCUGUGUAUGCCACGCCCGCAGAAAACAUCCGUGCCGCCCAGGCGGCGGCAGACGAGCUCGACAACUUCGAAGGCGAAGAGCGCCGCAUAAUGACGGAGCGAGUUCAGCAGCUCCUCGACGCGGCUGCCGCGCAGAAUGAUGCCGGCUGCCGCACCGAGGUGCCGCAGCGCCAAAACGACGACCCGCCGCCCCGCCGAGACCAAGGUGUGACGUCCCAAACGCCGACUGGCAGGGCCCGUGGGAAGAAGGACAAGGAGCCGGCUGUCAGCCACAGUCGGACUCACAUCACCAUCGAGCGCGACCAAGACGGCCGCCCCAAAGCGGUGGAACGGUGGGACGACUACCAGCCUCCCCCUCCUCGCAGAGAAAGGCGAGUCUCCCCGCCGCCCGUGGAACAUCCGACUCUCGGCGACCGCCUUGGCCACCGAGAGGGAGUCGGAGAGAACGACGCCCGCCACCGGAUCGACCGACUCCACCGAUCCCUGGCGCUGGAAGAACAAGACGAGUUGGGUCCCCCCUGCUUUGGACCCCGCAUCCAAGAUGAGCCCUUCCCCAAAGGGUUCACGCUCCCCCGAGACACGCCCAAGUAUACCGGCACCGUGAAGCCGGAAGAUUGGCUGAUCGACUACUCCACAGCCGUCAACAUAGCAAACGGCAACAAGCGUGUUGCCAUAAGAUACGUCCCGCUCAUGCUCCAGGGCUUGGCCCGGACGUGGUUGAAUAGUCUGAAGCCCCGCAGCAUCAACAGCUGGGUCGACUUCACCGAGGCUUUCGUCCGCAACUUCAUGAGCACAUACAAGCGACCUCCCAAGCCUCGCCAACUCUCCUUGUGCGUGCAAGGCCCUGACGAGUCUACUCGCGACUACCUCACACGCUGGGGCGAACUCCGGAACUCCUGCGAGGGAGUGCACGAGGUGCAGGCCAUCGAGUACUUUACUGCCGGGUGCAGAGAAGGCACCCUCCUCAAGCACAAGCUCCUCUACGACGAGUCAGAGACCCUCGAUGAGAUGCUGAUCACAGCGGACAAGUACGCCACGGCCGACUCCUCCAUGAAGGCGGAGAUUCGGGUCAGCACAACUGGCAAAGUCGCCCCUCAGGCUCAAAGAACUCCUGCUGGAGACACCAGUCGGCGGCAACAGCAGAAUGACCAGAAGCGCAAAGCCCCGCAGCCGGCUUCUAGCAGUUGGCAAGUGGCAAUAGCAGAGGACCAGCAGUUGGAGGGCCCGCCUCCAGCGAAGCGGCAGAAGGAUGGCAAGUCCAACUGGUUGCCGGCUUUCUCCUACGAGCAGACUCUAGAUGGUCCCUGCAAGUUCCAUAACAGCGCGAAGCCGUCAAACCACACCACUAGGAAAUGCCACUGGCUGACCAGAAUCGCCAAGGGAGACGGCCUGCUCCUUCCCCCUCCUGCUGGGCCGCCUCCUCCACAGCCGCCCCAGCAGCCGGCCGUCAGGCCAGUCGGUGCAAUACAAGACGAGUUCCCAGAUGAGCAUGGAGCCUAUGUGGUGUUCACCAGUGUAGCAGAUGACCGGCGCAGCAGGCGUCAACAGCAGCAAGAAGUGAAUGCAGUUGCAUCAAGUACUCCAGAGUUCAUGCAUUGGUCCGAAAAGCCUAUCAGUUGGAGCAGAGCUGAUCACCCAGAGGUGAUGCCGAGUCCGGGCUCCUACGCCUUGGUCUUAGGCGCCACACUCGCCACAGAUAGGCGGGCCGCUCGCUUCUCGCGAGUGCUGAUAGACGGAGGCAGCAGCAUCAACAUCCUGUACAAGGAUACAAUGGAGAAGUUAGGAAUCAAGCGAAGACAGCUCGAGAGCAGCCGGACUAUGUUCCACGGAAUCGUCCCUGGCCUUUCCUGCUCGCCAAUCGGCAAGAUCUUGAUAGAUGUCCUCUUCGGAGACAAGGAUCAUUUCCGCCGAGAGCCAAUUUGGUUUGAGGUGGUGGACCUUGAAAGCCCAUACCAUGCAUUGCUAGGCCGACCCGCCUUGGCCAAGUUCAUGGCGGUCCCCCACUACGCCUACCUCAAGAUGAAGAUGCCGAGUUCCAAGGGAAUCCUGUCCGUGUCCGGCGACUACAGGAAGUCGUCCGCUUGCACGGCCAAAAGCAGUCGGCUGGCCGAGUCCUUGGUGAUCGCAGCUGAGAAACGGCUUCUUGAUCGGGUUGUGGCGAUGGCCGGCAAGCAGCCCGAGUUAUCGCCCGACCCCAAGGAGUCGGAAGCGGAAGGAUCAUUCAAGCCGGCCAAAGAAACAAAGAAGAUACCAUUGGACCCGGAGCACCCGGAGAGGUACACUGUCAUGGGUGCAGGCCUUGACAGCAAAUAGGAAGGCGAGCUCGUUGAUUUCCUCCGUGAGAAUCGCGACAUCUUCGCAUGGUCUGUUGGGGAACGUUGCAGAAAAUUAAAAUUUUUCCUACGGUUUCACCAAGAUUCAUCUAUGAGUUCAUCUAAGCAACGAGUCUAGGGAGAGAGUUUGCAUCUACAUACCACUUGUAGAUCGCGUGCAGAAGCUUGCAAGGUGAUGAUGUAGUCGUACUCGACGUGAUCCAAAUCACCGAUGACCAGCGCCAAACGGACGGCACCUCCGCGUUCAACACACGUACGGGACGGGAGACGUCUCCUCCUUCUUGAUCCAGCAAGGGGGAAGGAGAGGUUGAUGAAGAUCCAGCAGCAUGACGGCGUGGUGGUGGAUGCAGGGCGUCACAGCAGCAGGGCUUCGCCGAGACUACGAGGGAGAGACGUAACGGGGGGAGGUGGAGGCGCCAGAGGCUGGUGUAUGAAGUCCCUCCUCUCCCCCACUAUAUAUAGGGGUGCCAGGGGGGCGCCGGCCCUAGUAGAUGAGAUCUACUAGGGGGGCGGCGGCCUAGGGGAGGUUUCCCUCCCCCCCAAGGCACCUAGGGGUGCCUUCCACCACUAGGACUCCUCCUAGGGGGAAACCCUAGGCGCAUGGGCCUAUAGGGGCUGGUGCCCUUGGCCCAUGAUGGCCAAGGCGCACCCCCUACAGCCCAUGUGGCCCCCCGGACAGGUGGCCCCACCCGGUGGACCCCCGGGACCCUUCCGGUGGUCCCGGUACAAUACCGAUAACCCCGAAACUUGUCCCGAUGCCCGAAAUAGCACUUCCUAUAUAUAAUUCUUUACCUCCGGACCAUUCCGGAACUCCUCGUGACGUCCGGGAUCUCAUCCGGGACUCCGAACAACAUUCGGGUUUCUGCAUAUCCAUAUCUUCAUAACCCUAGCGUCACCGAACCUUAAGUGUGUAGACCCUACGGGUUCGGGAGAAUGCAGACAUGACCGAGACGCUCUCAGUCAAUAACCAUCAGCGGGAUCUGGAUACCCAUGAUGGCUCCCACAUGCUCCUCGAUGUUGUCAUCGGAUGAACCACUAUGUCGAGGAUUCGAUCAAACCCUGUAUGCAAUUCCCUUUGUCAAUCGGUACGUUACUUGCCCGAGACUCGAUCGUCGGUAUCCCAAUACCUUGUUCAGUCUCGUUACCGGCAAGUCACUUUACUCGUACCGUAAUGCAUGAUCCCGUGUCCAACACCUUGGUCACAUUGAGCUCAAUAUGAUGAUGCAUUACCGAGUGGGCCCAGAGAUACCUCUCCGUCAUACGGAGUGACAAAUCCCAGUCUCGAUCCGUGUCAACCCAACAGCUACUUUCAGAGAUACCUGUAAUGCACCUUUAUAGUCACCCAGUUACGUUGUGAUGUUUGAUACACCCAAGGCACUCUUACGGUAUCCGGGAGUUACACGAUCUCAUGGUCGAAGGAAGAGAUACUUGACACUUGCAAAGCUCUAGCAAAACGAACUACACGAUCUUUUAUGCUAUGCUUAGGAUUGGGUCUUGUCCAUCACAUCAUUCUCCUAAUGAUGUGAUCCCGUUAUCAACGACAUCCAAUGUCCAUAGUCAGGAAACCAUGACUAUCUGUUGAUCACAACGAGCUGGUCAACUAGAGGCUUACCAGGGACAUAGUGUGGUCUACGUAUUCACACGUGUAUUACGAUUUCCGGAUAAUACAGUUAUAGCAUGAAUAAAAGACAAUUAUCAUGAACAAUGAAAUAUAAUAAUACUUUUAUUAUUGCCUCUAGGGCAUAUUUCCAACAGUCUCCCACUUGCACUAGAGUCACUAAUCUAGUUACAUUGUGAUGAAUCGAACACCCAUAGAGUCCUGGUGUUGAUCAUGUUUUGCACGCGAGAGAGGUUUAGUCAGCGGAUCUGCGACAUUCAGAUCCGUGUGCACUUUGCAAAUCUCUAUGUCUCCAUCUUGAACAUUUUCACGGAUGGAGUUGAAGCGACGCUUGAUGUGCCUUGUCUUCUUGCGAAACCUGGGCUCCUUGGCAAGUGCAAUAGCUCGAGUGUUGUCACAAAAGAGCUUGAUCGGCCCCGACGCAUUGGGUAUGACUCCUAGGUCGGUGAUGAACUCCUUCACCCAUAUUGCUUCAUGUGCUGCCUCCGAGGCUGCCAUGUACUCCGCUUCACAUGUAGAUCCCGCCACGACGCUCUACUUGCAGCUGCACCAGCUUACUGCUCCACCAUUCAACAUAUACACGUAUCCGGUUAGUGACUUAGAGUCAUCCAGAUCUGAGUCGAAGCUAGCGUCGACGUAACCCUUUACGACGAGCUCUUCGUCUCCUCCAUAAACGAGAAACAUGUCCUUUGUCCUUUUCAGGUACUUUAGGAUAUUCUUGACCGCUGUCCAGUGUUCCUUGCCGGGAUUACUUUGGUAUCUUGCUACCAAACUUACGGCAAGGUUUACAUCGGGUCUGGUACACAGCAUGGCAUACAUAAUAGAUCCUAUGGCUGAAGCAUAGGGGAUGACACUCAUCUCUUCUUUAUCUUUUGCCGUGGUCGGUGACUGAGCUGAGCUCAGUCUCAUACCUUGUAACAUAGGCAAGAACCCCUUCUUGGACUGAUCCAUUCUGAAUCUCUUCAAAAUCUUAUCAAGGUAUGUGCUUUGUGAAAGACCUAUGAGGCGUCUCGAUCUAUCUCUAUAGAUCUUGANNNNNNNNNNNNNNNNNNNNNNNNNNNNNNNNNNNNNNNNNNNNNNNNNNNNNNNNNNNNNNNNNNNNNNNNNNNNNNNNNNNNNNNNNNNNNNNNNNNNNNNNNNNNNNNNNNNNNNNNNNNNNNNNNNNNNNNNNNNNNNNNNNNNNNNNNNNNNNNNNNNNNNNNNNNNNNNNNNNNNNNNNNNNNNNNNNNNNNNNNNNNNNNNNNNNNNNNNNCUUUGUGAAAGACCUAUUAGGCGUCUCGAUCUAUCUCUAUAGAUCUUGAUGCCUAAUAUAUAAGCAGCUUCUCCAAGGUCCUUCAUUGAAAAACACUUAUUCAAGUAGGCCUUAAUGCUGUCCAGAAAUUCUAUAUUAUUUCCCAUCAGGAGUAUGUCAUCUACAUAUAAUAUGAGAAAUGCUACAGAGCUCCCACUCACUUUCUUGUAAACGCAGGCUUCUCCAUAAGUCUGCAUAAACCCAAACGCUUUGAUCAUCUCAUCAAAGCGAAUGUUCCAACUCCGAGAUGCUUGCACCAGUCCAUAAAUGGAUCGCUGGAGCUUGCAUACUUUGUUAGCGUUCUGAGGAUCGACAAAACCUUCCGGCUGCAUCAUAUAUAGUUCUUCCUUAAGAUGCCCGUUAAGGAAUGCUGUUUUGACGUCCAUCUGCCAUAUCUCAUAAUCAUAGUAUGCGGCAAUUGCUAACAUGAUUCGGACGGACUUUAGCUUCGCUACGGGAGAGAAUGUCUCGUCGUAGUCAAUCCCUUGAACCUGUCGAUAACCCUUAGCGACAAGUCGAGCUUUAUAGAUGGUAACAUUNNNNNNNNNNCUUGCCGGGAUUACUUUGGUAUCUUGCUACCAAACUUACGGCAAGGUUUACAUCGGGUCUGGUACACAGCAUGGCAUACAUAAUAGAUCCUAUGGCUGAAGCAUAGGGGAUGACACUCAUCUCUUCUUUAUCUUUUGCCGUGGUCGGUGACUGAGCUGAGCUCAGUCUCAUACCUUGUAACAUAGGCAAGAACCCCUUCUUGGACUGAUCCAUUCUGAAUCUCUUCAAAAUCUUAUCAAGGUAUGUGCUUUGUGAAAGACCUAUGAGGCGUCUCGAUCUAUCUCUAUAGAUCUUGAUGCCUAAUAUAUAAGCAGCUUCUCCAAGGUCCUUCAUUGAAAAACACUUAUUCAAGUAGGCCUUAAUGCUGUCCAGAAAUUCCAUAUUAUUUCCCAUCAGGAGUAUGUCAUCUACAUAUAAUAUGAGAAAUGCUACAGAGCUCCCACUCACUUUCUUGUAAACGCAGGCUUCUCCAUAAGUCUGCAUAAACCCAAACGCUUUGAUCAUUUCAUCAAAGCGAAUGUUCCAACUCCGAGAUGCUUGCACCAGUCCAUAAAUGGAUCGCUGGAGCUUGCAUACUUUGUUAGCGUUACGAGGAUCGACAAAACCUUCCGGCUACAUCAUAUACAGUUCUUCCUUAAGAUGCCCGUUAAGGAAUGCUGUUUUGACGUCCAUCUGCCAUAUCUCAUAAUCAUAGUAUGCGGCAAUUGCUAACAUGAUUCGGACGGACUUUAGCUUCGCUACGGGAGAGAAUGUCUCGUCGUAGUCAAUCCCUUGAACCUGUCGAUAACCCUUAGCGACAAGUCGAGCUUUAUAGAUGGUAACAUUACCAUCUGCAUCCGUCUUCUUCUUAAAGAUCCAUUUGUUUUCUAUCGCUCGCCGAUCAUCGGGCAAGUCUGUCAAAGUCCAUACUUUGUUUUCAUACAUGGAUUCUAUCUCGGAUUUCAUGGCUUCAAGCCAUUUGUUGGAAUCCGGGCCCGCCAUUGCUUCUUCAUAGUUCGAAGGUUCAUUGUUGUCUAACAACAUGAUUUCCAGGACAGGGUUGCCGUACCACUCUAGUGCGGAACGUGUCCUUGUGGACCUACGAAGUUCAGUAGUAACUUGAUCCGAAGUACCUUGAUCAUUAUCAUGGAUUUCCUCUUCAGUUGGUGUGGGCAUCACAGGAACGGUUUCCUGUGUUGCGUCACUAUCCCGCUCAAGAGGUAGUACUUCAUCGAGUUCUACUUUCCUCCCACUUACUUCUUUCGAGAGAAACUCUUUUUCCAGAAAGCAUCCGUUCUUGGCAACAAAGAUCUUGCCUUCGGAUCUUAAGUAGAAGGUAUACCCUACAGUUUCCUUAGGGUAUCCUAUGAAUACGCAUUUUUCCGACUUGGGUUCGAGCUUUUCAGGUUGAAGUUUCUUGACAUAAGCUUCGCAUCCCCAAACUUUUAGAAACGACAGCUUAGGUUUAUUUCCAAACCAUAAUUCAUACGGUGUCGUCUCAACGGAUUUAGAUGGUGCCCUAUUUAAAGUGAAUGUAGCUGUCUCUAGAGCGUAUCCCCAAAAUGAUAGCGGUAAAUCGGUAAGAGACAUCAUAGACCGCACCAUAUUCAAUAAAGUUCUUACGUAAACUUCCUAGUAAUUCCCUCUUCGUAGGUGCAGCAUUACUCCUAACAUUUGUAAUAUCAGUUUGAAACUUGUAAUAUUGUCGUGUCCUAUUUCUGUGUUUUCAAAAUCCUACAAAUCAUACAGGUCCUGAGUUGGGGAUGAUGUUGU
rnacentral:lncRNA from 1 species